UGCAAAAUCAGUAAACAACAAGUAAACAAACAAAACACCUUCAAAAAAAUGAAAGUUUGCUUUCCCUAAUUCACAUUUAUCAAAUUAAACUUUACAGUACUAUAUAACUAUACUAUAAACUAUAGUACAGCCUGCAAGUUACUUUGAAGCUCUUCUGCUAUACUCUUAAAAACAAUGAAAUCGUCCAAAUAAAAUUGAAUCGCUUUUCAAUGUUUUAGAUUUUUGGCAUUUUUUAAAAAAUAUGCUGUGUGCUGAAACAAAUCCAUAGGGAGGCUGUUUAAAAUAGACAAGUUUCUCAUGUAAUAAACACAGUAAGGUCUUUAUUAAUUUUCUCAAAAACAACUUGCUGGUAUGCACUCAGCAAAUCAAGAAUACAAAACAUAUUUGCCCUUUGCAAUUCUACAGCAGUUAUAUGUAGAACAGAUAAUACUGCAUUGCAAUAAAUUCAUUUUCUUUAUUAAAUCCAUAUAAAGAUGGACACUCCUAUUUUACUUUUUAUCACUACAGCAGGUAAUACCCAUUCUGCAUCAAUAAUGUCCCUCUGCAUCAAAUCCUUUGUUUUUUGACAUAACGUCACUCAAUGUUGCAAGUUCUUUUGUACACAAACAGUGCAAACAGUGCACCACCAAAAUGGAAACGCAGCCUGGAAAAUGUAGUUAUGUGGCUCCUGAAUCUUUUGCUGCUUGACAUUUGUCUUCAACACUGUUUUCCAACAGUUUUAUCAAAGAACUUGAUAUUCUUCUAGAGACAUGAUGGCAAACCUAUGGCAUGCAUGCCAAAGGUGGCACACAGAGCACUCUGUGGGCAUGCAAGCAGUUGCCACAGCUCAGCUCCACUACACAUGCACAUAAGCCUCCCCCUGGCCAGCUGGUUUUCAGAUCUUUGCCGUGCAUGCGUGUGGAGGUCAUGCAUGCAUACACGGAGGUCACUUGGGCAUGCAUGGGGGAGGGGUGCUUACGGGGGGGUUAUGCACGCAUGCCUCUGUGUGUGGGCCACUCACACAUUGCAUUAUGGGUGCACACACGCAUGGGCUAUCAGUGUAUCAUGACAAAAAUGUUAGCCAUCACUUCUCUAGAGUCUAUCACAAGUUUCUCACUGAGAUAAUGAGAAAUCAUGGUUGAGCUAAUAUGAAAGAUGAUUUUCCAACAUUACUAAACUUCUAUCAGGGGGAAGUGAACAGUAUUACAUAUACUCUGAAGAGUAAUAUAAACCCAAUCAGGAUUACUCUGUGGUAAGUAGGAACUAAUAUUCUCAUAAAAUCUUCUAUUUAGGAGGUCUUUGAGGACUAGCUGAAUCAAAAAUUAUUAAGUAUAAUAUUUGCAAUCUACUGUUUUAAUAUGGAUUUCAUGCAUUAAGGAUGGGGGAUAUGUCCUGUUUUAUAGCAAACGUCUCUAAUUGUGUACUUGUAAACUAGUACUUGACCAUAAUUUCAUUUGAAAACAUGCACAUAGCCAAACUAGCUAAAACUUUUAUGCACUUUUUUUUUUUAAAAAGUGAAAUUUAUCCAGGAAUGGGCCAAACUAAAUUCAAGACUGUAAAAAUAUCAGAAACCAAUUCUGGCAAUUGUUUAUCACACAUACCCAACUGUGUAAAAAAAGACAAUGCCACCCUUUAUACUGGAGCAUAGCAUAUUAAUCUCUUCAUCUUGAACUUAUUGCUUCAUUCUCUAUUGCUAACUUCUCCCUGCUAACUUGAUUAAUUCAGUGUGAUAGGUACGUUCAUUCUGUGUGCUUCCUUAACAAACAAUUCCCCAGAAUUUCUACUACUGAUUCUUACAUUUCUGCCUUCUUCUGUCUUGGUGUUCCCAAGGUUUUGCUUACUUCUCAGAUUCAGGUCUUUCAGCACAUACCACAUUUAUCUGUGCUUCUGACUCCAAUGACUUUUGUAUCUUCUGACCUUUACUUCCAAAUUCUGUUCUUUCAUAAAUACUAUGCUGAAAUCUGACUUCCAGUUUCAACACAGAACAUGAUGUUUUUCUCUCUUGCUUCCAGGGAGUUUCACAAUUACGUUUGGAGGUUUACUUGAUUGCUCUGAAGCAUGAGAUCUACAGAACUUGUUUUUACUUCAGUUAUAUAUUUUUUCCACCAGUGAGUAACUAACACAUGAUCUGAAAAAGCCCCAUGACGAUAUCUUGUUUUGACUUUGCUUGAGAUUUAACAAAAAUAUCAGAGGCCAGUGAUAUUGUAAGCACCAAAGAGAAAUGAAGCAUCAAAAAACAAGGACAGUCAGAUCCUGAUGAAUUCAUAACUAAGAGUUGCAAAACUUGAUUUGGACUGAUGGAGGCAAUUUGUAGAGGUCCGCUUCAACAAACAAGAUGGAAAGAACUAAGAUGGAUGAAUAAAGAUUGCAGAUGGACACCAAGAGUCCAAGGUCACUGCAGAGGAACCCAAGAUGUAAAGGUCAUCUCAGCUGCCUAGCUAAGACAAACAGCCACCUGUUUCUGGUAGCAACGAUAUAGAAAAAUGUUGGAGAUAGAUGAUCAUUUUACUAACAACAA